UACAGAGACUGCAAGCGUUAUUCGGAUUCACUGGGCGUAAAGGGUGCGCAGGCGGCCAGAUGUGUCAGGUGUGAAAGCCCGGGGCUUAACCCCGGAAUUGCGCCUGAAACUGUCUGGCUAGAGUACUGGAGAGGGUAGCGGAAUUCACGGUGUAGCAGUGAAAUGCGUAGAUAUCGUGAGGAACACCAGAGGCGAAGGCGGCUACCUGGACAGUAACUGACGCUCAGGCACGAAAGCGUGGGGAGCAAAAGGG
rnacentral:rRNA from 3 species